rnacentral:rRNA from 1 species
GAUUUCUGGUUUAAUGCACCUGGCCCGCGGCCACUAGGCUUGUGAGUGCCGGCGCGCGUUUACCAUCCUUCUAGAAAACGAUUCUGCCAUUAACUUGGUUGGGAUUGCGAUCUAGAUCUUUUACUUUGAAAAAAUUAGAGUGUUUAAAGCAGGCUUUCGCUAUGAAUACAUUAGCAUGGAAUAAUAAUUUAGGACUUUGGUUCUAUUUUGUUGGUUUCUAGGACUGAAGUAAUGAUUGAUAGGGACAGUUGGGGGUGCUAGUAUUCCGCGGCCAGAGGUGAAAUUCUUGGAUUCGGUCAAGACUAACUUAUGCGAAAGCAUU